UACAGAGGUCUCAAGCGUUGUUCGGAUUCAUUGGGCGUAAAGGGUGCGUAGGCGGCGCGGUAAGUCGGAUGUGAAAUCUCGGAGCUUAACUCCGAAACUGCAUUCGAUACUGCCGUGCUUGAGGACUGGAGAGGAGACUGGAAUUUACGGUGUAGCGGUGAAAUGCGUAGAUAUCGUAAGGAACACCGGUGGCGAAGGCGGCAUCCUGGACCAACACUGACACUGAGGAGCGAAAGCCAGGGGAGCAAACGGG
rnacentral:rRNA from 1 species